AGAGUUUGAUCAUGGCUCAGAUUGAACGCUGGCGGCAGGCCUAACACAUGCAAGUCGAACGGUAACAGAAAGCAGCUUGCUGCUUUGCUGACGAGUGGCGGACGGGUGAGUAAUGUCUGGGAAACUGCCUGAUGGAGGGGGAUAACUACUGGAAACGGUAGCUAAUACCGCAUAACGUCGCAAGACCAAAGAGGGGGACCUUAGGGCCUCUUGCCAUCGGAUGCCCAGAUGGGAUUAGCUAGUAGGUGGGGUAACGGCUCACCUAGGCGACGAUCCCUAGCUGGUCUGAGAGGAUGACCAGCCACACUGGAACUGAGACACGGUCCAGACUCCUACGGGAGGCAGCAGUGGGGAAUAUUGCACAAUGGGCGCAAGCCUGAUGCAGCCAUGCCGCGUGUAUGAAGAAGGCCUUCGGGUUGUAAAGUACUUUCAGCGGGGAGGAAGGGAGUAAAGUUAAUACCUUUGCUCAUUGACGUUACCCGCAGAAGAAGCACCGGCUAACUCCGUGCCAGCAGCCGCGGUAAUACGGAGGGUGCAAGCGUUAAUCGGAAUUACUGGGCGUAAAGCGCACGCAGGCGGUUUGUUAAGUCAGAUGUGAAAUCCCCGGGCUCAACCUGGGAACUGCAUCUGAUACUGGCAAGCUUGAGUCUCGUAGAGGGGGGUAGAAUUCCAGGUGUAGCGGUGAAAUGCGUAGAGAUCUGGAGGAAUACC
rnacentral:rRNA from 1 species